UACGGGGGGGGCAAGCGUUGUUCGGAAUUACUGGGCGUAAAGGGUGCGUAGGCGGCUUUCUAAGUUGGAUGUGAAAACUAUGGGCUCAACCCAUAGCCUGCAUCCAAAACUGGAGAGCUUGGGUUCUGGAGGGGAAAGCGGAAUUCCUGGUGUAGCGGUGAAAUGCGUAGAUAUCAGGAGGAACACCGGUGGCGAAGGCGGGACUCUGGGCCGAUACUGACGCUGAGGAGCGAAAGCGUGGGGAGCGAACAGG
rnacentral:rRNA from 1 species